GACGAACGCUGGCGGCGUGCUUAACACAUGCAAGUCGAACGGAAAGGCCCUGCUUUUGUGGGGUGCUCGAGUGGCGAACGGGUGAGUAACACGUGAGUAACCUGCCCUUGACUUUGGGAUAACUUCAGGAAACUGGGGCUAAUACCGGAUAGGAGCUCCUGCUGCAUGGUGGGGGUUGGAAAGUUUCGGCGGUUGGGGAUGGACUCGCGGCUUAUCAGCUUGUUGGUGGGGUAGUGGCUUACCAAGGCUUUGACGGGUAGCCGGCCUGAGAGGGUGACCGGCGUCCAGGCGCCUGCGAGAGGGAGCAGAAGGGUACGGUCCGCAAUAGUGGGGAGCAUUGCGGAACGGGGCGGAGCGUGUGGCAGAGGCGCUGCGUGCGUGAAGACCGGCUACGAGUGGUAAACCGCUGUCGCAGGAACCAAGGCGGGAGUGACGGUAACUAGUCAAAAAGCCACGGCUAACUACGUG
rnacentral:rRNA from 1 species